UAACAUUAUUUAAAGGUAAUACAUGUAGUGUUGAUGCAUAAUAUACAUAGUGUUGCUAUACGUUAUCUCACCCCCUGAUUUCAGGAACUAUAGAUCUCUGUGUUUGCAACUUAUUAAUUUUAGCCUCCUUCUGUUCCUUCUGUUUGCAGGCGGUGUGUUACUUGUGUGGAGGACUGCUGCCCUGAGACCGCUGGGUUUAUUCUGGAAUAUUGUCACUUCCAAAGCCCAUUACAAGCCUGCAAUGGGCUCUAUGAACUGUCCAGAGCAAAAUCAGUCUGUCCUGAUGGCACUACCUGCUACUAUGGCUGCUGCUCUCAACCUGGUGGGGCAAGUCUUAAGAGUUGCAGACGGGGGAGCAAAAGGAGUUCCUGGACCCUUAAAGGGUUAAGGCCAUAAUGGGCCACCUAGAAGAGAUUCAGGCACUCCCUCAAGAUUGCUGGGCCAUGCAAUUAAUGCCAAACUUGCAGAACUGUG